AGCGUAAAUAAUUCUAGCUGUUCAGUUUGUCAGUGGUAGAGAUUAUUAUUCCUUAAACCUUUCCAGAAUAUUAUUAUUCCAAAAUCAUUAAAAUAUAAUUAUAUUUAAAUUUUUAUAGUAUUUUGAAACCCUAUUUGUAUUUUUGUGAUACAUAAAAAGUAAUUUAAAUUUGUUGAUAAAGAUGGGUGAACGAAAAGGCCAGAACCUUUACUAUCCCCCCGAUUAUGACCCAAAAGUCGGGGGUUUAAAUAAGUUUAUGGGUACACAUGCCUUGAGGGAACGUGCUAGAAAGCUUCACAUGGGUAUACUUAUCAUAAGAUUUGAAAUGCCAUAUAACAUAUGGUGUGAUGGCUGUAAGAAUCAUAUUGGUAUGGGAGUGAGAUACAAUGCUGAGAAGACAAAAAUAGGAAUGUACUACAGCACACCAAUCUAUCAGUUUAGAAUGAAAUGCCAUCUUUGUGAUAAUCACUUCGAAAUCAAAACGGAUCCAGGGAAUUUGGAUUAUGUUAUUGUCUCUGGUGCUAGAAGACAAGAAAACCGAUGGGACCCAACUGAAAAUGGGCAGAUUGUUCCAGAAACUAAAGAAACCCAAAAGAAAAUGUUUGAUGAUGCUAUGUUUAGGCUGGAACAUAAGACAGGAGAUGAGGAUACAAGUAAAUUGGAUAAAUCCAGGUUAAAUAAAUUGGUUGGACGGAAUGAUAAAGUGUGGAAUGAUGACUAUGAAGCCAAUUGUGCUCUCAGGAGAAAUUUUCGGAAACGAAGAAAGGAGCUUGAAGAAUCAGCAGUCAAUGAUAGCUUGCUGCUGGCAAAAUCAUCUCUGGAUAUAAAUCUUCUUCCAGAAAACGAGGAUGACAGGAACGUGGCGGCUUUACUUUCUCUAAGACCAUCGAAGAGCAUCGAGGAAAAUCAAAAUUGUAUGCGAAGUAAAAUCAUGCAUUCCUCAGCUCUACCAAGCUCUAGUGGACUUCUUUCGAGCUUUGGUGGGUUGAAGAAAGAAGAGUCUUUAAGUAAACAGACACUGAAAACUCUAAACUUGGGUGUGAUAGUUAAACGGAAGUGUGAAACAGAGAAAUUGGAUAAGCAGAUAAAUGAAAAUGAAACACUUAAUAAAUGUGAUGAUAAUGUUAGUGCUAACAAUGAUGUUAAUGUUAGUGUUAAUAAAGUGUCGUUAGUUGGUGAUUAUAGUUCUAGUGGAGAUAACUCCGAUUAAAUAUGAGGUGCACUCCAUUUGGAACAUUACUUGAAGGCUUUUUUUUAAUUAAGUGGCAUGGGAUGCAAGUUCAUCGGCCAACGUUUCUACUGUGUUGCCAUACGGAAGUUCAGUUGAACACAUAGAAGGUUGGCUGAAGGUUGAAUUUUUAGGAGCUUGGACCAGGUGUGUACACGUGACACAUACCUACUGUAUGGGUUAUGUUCCAUACUGUGGUACAAUAAAUGGGUCAAAAACUGAAAAAAAAAAUCUUAAAAGAAUAAGUUUCAUUCAACUCGUUUUCAUAGGUUUAUGUUAUGUAUUUUAUUUUAUAAAAAUAAAACAACAUUACCGAGUGAAA